UACGAUUUAUCUCUGUUUAGCUGAGUAUGUCAUGUCUUAAUUCUGCUUUUUUAAUGGGCUGCCUCAUUUUAUUCGCCUUUGGAACAACUAACAAAGAACCGAAUGCAAGAUGGCCGGAGGUAUCCAAAAUAUCAUCUUUCUGUCCUGGAAUGAGUCAAUGGUGUCGAGAGAUGUGCUGUAAAUGCGAUGCUUAUGGUGGAUACAUGUGCUGUCCUUACAAAGAUGGAACUUGCUGUGAUGGCUCACGCCAUUGCUGCGCAAAACAUGAGACGUGCACUAAAUUGGGGUGUCAUCAUGAAGAAACUGGCCACACAUUAAGCAAACCGCUGUCUCAUCCACUUCUAUGAUAGAUUAUGGGUUUUAUCUGAAUAUUUAAAACCUGUGUACUGUGUAGUUAAUCCUCCUUGAAAAUAUAGAUAUGAUAUUGCAUAUUAUAGUUGGGUGAACCUUCAGAAUUUCAUGCAUGAUACCAAUAGUGGUAAAGAAUGUAUUAUUUAGAAUUGGUAGCAAAAUUAAGAUACCUAUUAUGCAUGUUAAAUUUAAGAUUAUAUUAAAAUGUCAUGGUGACAUAAUGAUGCUGAGAGGUUGGUAUUUAAUGUAGAUUUUUAUCAGAUGGAAAUACCUAGAACUUCUCCAGAUUUAUGGUGAUACUUUUAUUAAGUUUUUUUUUUCAGAAUUUUAAUGCCAGCCUAGGGCUUAUAUAACGAAACUCAUAAUACAUUUUUUGUACUUUUUACAGAUUUUUAAUAAGAAUUUAUAAAUUUUUUUGUAUAUUUUUGUUCAUAUGUUGUGUGAUUGUUUACAUUGUACAAUAUAAUGUUGAAGUCUGAACAGGAAUUUUAAAUUUUAUUCAUUCACCAUGAUUUUGGUUUAAUAAUGGGAUUAACUUAAUAAAGGUGGUUACUAUGGUAACUAAUUAAUAGAGUUGUUAAACGCUUAGAAUUGUAGUCACGUGAUACUACUU